UUGCGUCUUCUCAUUCUCUCACCCGUUCUCCCCAAACAUUCCCUCUCAAAACUCAAUUCAUUUAAAUUUUUCUUUCUCCCAUUUUCCCCCUAAAAUAGUCUCCUCUCAAAUCCUCAAUUCUUUUUUGUAAAUCUUGUUCUUGAUCGAUUGAGACCUAAGCACCAAAAGAUCAACUCAAAGAUUAAAUCAUUCUUGAGCAAGAGGAUUUUCGCAGUAGCCAAAGGAGAAAUCGUCCAUGUCAGCAAACAAAGGAAUAUUGAAUCGCCCCCGGUCUACAAAGUCUUCCAAAUCAGAAGGUGACACUAGGAUUUGCAAACACAUUUGUGACGUGGGAAUUGCCACGCAGGUGCCUUAUAUUGCAUGCAUUUUAUGCUCAAAUGAGAUCAAUUCCAAAUCUUUUUUGAAGAAACAAUUUUGAAGAAAGAAAAGUGGAGAGAUGGAGAAGUGAGUUGUAGACGAGAUGUUCUAUUGCACGAUUUACCUAUUCUUCAAGAAUUAAAGAAGAAGAAGAAGAAGGAAGAAGGAGAUUGAUACAACUUGUUUAAGUGGUUCAGCUUGAAGAAGUUUACAUCCACGGUAAAGGAAGGGAGCCAAAAUUUUAUUAAGCAAUCAAAGGAAACAUUUACAGGUUUUUUCAGAUAAGAUCUCUCACUCGAUACUCUCUAUUUUUAUAGACCUCUCUCAGACAUUUACUCUAACUAAUUGUUUUUUGUUUUAGCAGCUUAACAAAGUAAUUUAUCACAAGAGGAAAAGCAAAAAUUAUAGUUGUUGGGCUUUGGGAUCUUCAAGAGCAAAGAUAAGUUUGAUUACAAAUCUCCACCUUUGAAGCUUCGAAAGCUUUUAAACCUUUCCUUUUGAUUUAUUCAUCUAUCCACUUUCUGACAGUGUGAACUCGAUUUGAUCCAAGCAAAACUUCAGUUUCUGUUUGGUUACGGGUUUGGUGAGCAUAUCUGAUACAUUCUUUGUGGUGGCACUAGGAUUUGCGAACACAUGUGUGAUGUGGGAGUUGCCAUGCAGCUUAAAGAAGCUUACAUCCAUUGUGAAGGGAGGGAGCCAAGAUUUUAUUAAGCAAUAAAAGAAAACAUUUACAGAUUUUUUUAGAUAAGAUCUCUCACCCGAUACUCUUAUGUUUUUAUAGACCUCUCUCAGACAUUUACUCUAACUAACUGUUUUUUGUUUUAACAGCUUAACAAAGUAAUUUAUUACAAGAGGGAAAACAAAAAUUAUAGUCGUUGGCCUUUGGGAGCUUCAAGAGCAAAGAGUACAGGUGAACUGUUCAAUCAUGUCUUGAUCAUGUUUGGUUGUGCAAUGACUCAAUCUAGAACAAGGUUCCAAAUCUUGUUUCUAGGUCUUCGAUCUAAGAGUCAAAGCUCACACCUCCUAGAUUCUCAUCUAGAGAAUACAGUGGAAACAUCGUGGUGGUGAUUCCUUUAGUUCGAGAGAUUCUUCUUGAAGAAUAGUUCUUCGAAGGUAAGAGUUUUAAAACCCAUUUUCCUUUUAUGUAUUUUUCUUUUAAGCAUGCUGUAAUUAUCGAAUAAUCUGUAUGUUUUUUGCUGUAAAAUUGAUGUUUUGUAAAUUUGGAAUUUGGAUCCGAUCUCGUUUUUGCUCAAGGACUUUCAAUGGUUCCUUCAGUAUUUGCAUAUCAUGUUGAGUCACACUUGUAGGUGAUCGGUGAAAGACCCAAACGUCGAUUUUGAGGUGAAGGAACCGUGAGAUAUACUGUGGAAGCACAGACCAUUCCCAUUUUCCAAUUUUUACAGAAUACAAAAUUAUGGAGAAAUAAUUAUUGCAUUAUAUACAUAUUUUACAACAUGAAAAUAAGAGAAUGAGGAAGGGUUAAAAUUACAUACCUUUGAAGAACCGAUUCUUCACGAAACUCAUCCUAGAUUCGUCAUGAACCAUCCUCUUGGAAUCUCGAACACCAAAAAUUGCAGCAACCCAAUUUGGCCACCACCAUAAGUGAACCUCUUGUAUUCUCCUUUGGGGUUGAGAAUUAGCAGGAAUGUGUGGGUCUUGCUAUGAUUUUGGGAGAGGGAGGAAGAAAUUGUGAGCAAUAGAAUUUUUUUUUGGGAGAGUUCCACUGAAAUACACACAGAUCUCUUCUGUGAUCUCCACUUCUGUGAAGAAGAAGAAAACGUAAAACCCUAAUAGCCCCGACAUUCUCCUGCAUCCCCUACGGUCUGAGUGCGAUAUUAUACUAUGGAAAUAUGUUCACAUAACAUAUGGUUAAUCACCAAGGUACAUAGAUAUAGUGGUUUGAAAACUCUUUUCAAUAUAAAAACUUUUCAUUCUCAAUUACUGAUAAAUGAGUGCAACGUUUACUGAAGAAAAUAACAAAUUUUUCCAUUCAUUUUUCUGCAUUUUCUUCUUCAGCUUCAGGUUCCACUUUUUGGUGAUUAAUUAUGUAUUUUCUCUUUCAUGGUUGUUAUGUUGGACCAUUGAUACUUUGCCAUGUGGU